rnacentral:rRNA from 1 species
UACGUAGGGGGCUAGCGUUGUCCGGAAUCAUUGGGCGUAAAGAGCGCGUAGGCGGCCAGAUAAGUCCGGUGUGAAAGUCACAGGCUCAACCUGUGAAUGCCGCUGGAAACUGUCUGGCUAGAGUCCGGAAGGGGCGAGUGGAAUUCCUGGUGUAGCGGUGAAAUGCGCAGAUAUCAGGAGGAACACCGGUGGCGAAGGCGGGUCUCUGGGCAGUAACUGACGCUGAGGAGCGAAAGCGUGGGGAGCGAACAGG